rnacentral:ncRNA from 1 species
UACCUGGUUGAUCCUGCCAGUAGUCAUAUGCUUGUCUCAAAGAUUAAGCCAUGCAAGUCUAAGUACGAGCUCUCGUACAGUGAAACUGCGAAUGGCUCAUUAAAUCAGUUAUGGUUCAUUUGAUCGUACAGUUUACUUGGAUAACUGUGGUAAUUCUAGAGCUAAUACAUGCGAGAAGCGCCGACCUCGCGGGAGGCGUGCAUUUAUCAGACCAAAAACCGGCCGCGUCUUCGGGCGCGUUCGCCUUGGUGACUCUGGAUAACUUUGCGGAUCGCACGGUCUAGCACCGGCGACGGAUCAUUCAAGUGUCUGCCCUAUCAACUUUCGUCGGUACGGUAUUUGCCUACCGAGGUUCUUACGGGUGACGGGGAAUCAGGGUUCGAUUCCGGAGAGGGAGCCUGAGAAACGGCUACCACAUCCAAGGAAGGCAGCAGGCGCGCAAAUUACCCAUUCCCGACGCGGGGAGGUAGUGACGAAAAAUAACAAUGCAGGACUCGUUCGAGGCCCUGUAAUUGGAAUGAGUACACUUUAAAAGCUUUAACGAGUAUCCAUUGGAGGGCAAGUCUGGUGCCAGCAGCCGCGGUAAUUCCAGCUGCAAAAGUAUAUAUUUAAGUUGUUGCG